rnacentral:rRNA from 1 species
UACGUAGGGUGCGAGCGUUGUCCGGAAUUACUGGGCGUAAAGAGCUCGUAGGUGGUUUGUCGCGUUGUUCGUGAAAACUCACAGCUUAACUGUGGGCGUGCGGGCGAUACGGGCAGACUGGAGUACUGCAGGGGAGACUGGAAUUCCUGGUGUAGCGGUGGAAUGCGCAGAUAUCAGGAGGAACACCGGUGGCGAAGGCGGCAUCCUGGACCGGCAUUGACGCUGAUGAGCGAAAGCCAGGGGAGCAAACGGG